rnacentral:rRNA from 1 species
AAUAGAUACCCCGGUAGUCCACGCUGUAAACGGUGGGUACUAGGUGUGGGGUCCAUUCCACGGGUUCCGUGCCGUAGCUAACGCUUUAAGUACCCCGCCUGGGGAGUACGGCCGCAAGGCUAAAACUCAAAGGAAUUGACGGGGCCCCGCACAAGCGGCGGAGCAUGCGGAUUAAUUCGAUGCAACGCGUAGAACCUUACCUGGGUUUGACAUGGAUCGGGAGUGCUCAGAGAUGGGUGUGCCUCUUUUGGGGUCGGUUCACGAGGUGGUGCAUGGCUGUCGUCAGCUCGUGUCGUGAGAUGUUGGGUUAAGUCCCGCAACGAGCGCAACCCUUGUUCACUGUUGCCAGCACGUUAUGGUGGGGACUCAGUGGAGACCGCCGGGGCCAACUCGGAGGAAGGUGGGGAUGACGUCAAGUCAUCAUGCCCCUUAUGUCCAGGGCUUCACGCAUGCUACAAUGGCUGGUACAGAGAGUGGCGAGCCUGUGAGGGUGAGCGAAUCUCGGAAAGCCGGUCUCAGUUCGGAUUGGGGUCUGC